GUGGCAUCAAUGAUGUAUUCCUCUUUUAGUUAUCCUUGCACUUUGAUUGUCAGUGAAGAAAUUUAUAGGGGAAAUUGUUAACUGAGAUGCCU